CAGUCGCCACGGUAAUACGUAGGGUGCAAGCGUUAAUCGGAAUUACUGGGCGUAAAGCGUGCGCAGGCGGUUUGUUAAGACAGAUGUGAAAUCCCCGGGCUUAACCUGGGAACUGCAUUUGUGACUGGCAAGCUAGAGUCUGGCAGAGGGGGGUGGAAUUCCGCGUGUAGCAGUGAAAUGCGUAGAUAUGCGGAGGAACACCGAUGGCGAAGGCAGCCCCCUGGGCCGACACUGACGCUCAUGCACGAAAGCGUGGGGAGCAAACAGGAUUAGAUACCCCAGUAGUCCCUGUCUCUUAUAA
rnacentral:rRNA from 1 species